rnacentral:rRNA from 1 species
UACGUAGGGGGCGAGCGUUACCCGGAUUUACUGGGCGUAAAGGGGGCGUAGGCGGCCGUGAAAGUCCGGUGUGAAAACUCACGGCUCAACCGUGGGACUGCGCUGGAAACUACACGGCUUGAGGACGGUAGAGGGAGACGGAACUGCUGGUGUAGGGGUGAAAUCCGUAGAUAUCAGCAGGAACGCCGGUGGAGAAGUCGGUCUCCUGGGCCGCGCCCGACGCUGAGGCACGAAAGCUAGGGGAGCGAACCGG